rnacentral:snRNA from 1 species
GGAUGUAAGGGUCUACCUGCGACUCUUGUCACCACAUUGACCGCCAGGUUGAUUCGGCUGAUCAGGCUGACUGGGCGGGUGUCCCCUUCCUCCCUCACCACUCCAUGUGCAUCCCUCCCGAAGUUGCAUGCUCCAUCAAGGAGGACGACCACCCCUGAUAGAGGAGGACCAUUCUUAGAUCAAGGGCAUACGAGCAGCUGCUUCUCUGCUAGAACCUCUGAACAAACUCUCAAGGGUUACAGCAGACAAAGGAGAUAAAAACUGAGUCAUGAAAAAGCUCAAUCCAGCAGAAGGCAGAAGAGAGAAAUGG